ACGCGAAGAACCUUACCUAGGCUUGACAUGCAUCUCUAAGCGCGUGAAAGCGCGUGACCCUUCGGGGGAUUUGCACAGGUGCUGCAUGGCCGUCGUCAGCUCGUGUCGUGAGAUGUUGGGUUAAGUCCCGCAACGAGCGCAACCCUUGUGAUUUGUUGCCAGCGGGUAAAGCCGGGAACUCGAAUCAGACUGCCCAGAUCAAUUGGGAGGAAGGUGGGGAGGACGUCAGGUCAGUAUGGCCCUUACGCCUAGGGCUGCACACGUACUACAAUGCCCAGUACAAUGAGAGCGGAAGCCGCGAGGUAGAGGAAAUCUGGAAAACUGGUCCCAGUUCGGAUUGGAGUCUGCAACUCGCCUCCAUGAAGUCGGAAUC
rnacentral:rRNA from 1 species